rnacentral:rRNA from 1 species
GGGACACGUGGUAUCCUGUCUGAAUAUGGGGGGACCAUCCUCCAAGGCUAAAUACUCCUGACUGACCGAUAGUGAACCAGUACCGUGAGGGAAAGGCGAAAAGAACCCCGGCGAGGGGAGUGAAAAAGAACCUGAAACCGUGUACGUACAAGCAGUGGGAGCCUCUUAAUGGGGUGACUGCGUACCUUUUGUAUAAUGGGUCAGCGACUUAUAUUCUGUAGCAAGGUUAACCGAAUAGGGGAGCCGAAGGGAAACCGAGUCUUAACUGGGCGUUAAGUUGCAGGGUAUAGACCCGAAACCCGGUGAUCUAGCCAUGGGCAGGUUGAAGGUUGGGUAACACUAACUGGAGGACCGAACCGACUAAUGUUGAAAAAUUAGCGGAUGACUUGUGGCUGGGGGUGAAAGGCCAAUCAAACCGGGAGAUAGCUGGUUCUCCCCGAAAGCUAUUUAGGUAGCGCCUCGUGAAUUCAUCUCCGGGGGUAGAGCACUGUUUCGGCAAGGGGGUCAUCCCGACUUACCAACCCGAUGCAAACUGCGAAUACCGGAGAAUGUUAUCACGGGAGACACACGGCGGGUGCUAACGUCCGUCGUGAAGAGGGAAACAACCCAGACCGCCAGCUAAGGUCCCAAAGUCAUGGUUAAGUGGGAAACGAUGUGGGAAGGCCCAGACAGCCAGGAUGUUGGCUUAGAAGCAGCCAUCAUUUAAAGAAAGCGUAAUAGCUCACUGGUCGAGUCGGCCUGCGCGGAAGAUGUAACGGGGCUAAACCAUGCACCGAAGCUGCGGCAGCGACACUAUGUGUUGUUGGGUAGGGGAGCGUUCUGUAAGCCUGUGAAGGUGGCCUGUGAGGGUUGCUGGAGGUAUCAGAAGUGCGAAUGCUGACAUAAGUAACGAUAAAGCGGGUGAAAAGCCCGCUCGCCGGAAGACCAAGGGUUCCUGUCCAACGUUAAUCGGGGCAGGGUGAGUCGACCCCUAAGGCGAGGCCGAAAGGCGUAGUCGAUGGGAAACAGGUUAAUAUUCCUGUACUUGGUGUUACUGCGAAGGGGGGACGGAGAAGGCUAUGUUGGCCGGGCGACGGUUGUCCCGGUUUAAGCGUGUAGGCUGGUUUUCCAGGCAA